rnacentral:rRNA from 1 species
GAUGAACGCUGGCGGCGUGCCUAAUACAUGCAAGUCGAGCGAACGGACGAGAAGCUUGCUUCUCUGAUGUUAGCGGCGGACGGGUGAGUAACACGUGGAUAACCUACCUAUAAGACUGGGAUAACUUCGGGAAACCGUAGCUAAUACCGGAUAAUAUUUUGAACCGCAUGGUUCAAAAGUGAAAGACGGUCUUGCUGUCACUUAUAGAUGGAUCCGCGCUGCAUUAGCUAGUUGGUAAGGUAACGGCUUACCAAGGCAACGAUGCAUAGCCGACCUGAGAGGGGGAUCGGCAACAAUGGAACUGAGACACGGUCCAGACUCCUACGGGAGGCAGCAGUAGGGAAUCUUCCGCAAUGGGCGAAAGCCUGACGGAGCAACGCCGCGUGAGUGAUGAAGGUCUUCGGAUCGUAAAACUCUGUUAUUAGGGAAGAACAUAUGUGUAAGUAACUGUGCACAGCUUGACGGUACCUAAUCAGAAAGCCACGGCUAACUACGUG